rnacentral:pre_miRNA from 1 species
ACAACAUUCGGACCGUCGGUCUACCGAGUAAUAUCACCCGCUUGGUGGAAGAUCUUUCUUACCCUUUGUCGU